rnacentral:rRNA from 1 species
AGUUUGAUCCUGGCUCAGGACGAACGCUGGCGGCGCGCCUAACACAUGCAAGUCGAACGGAGUCAAGAGGAGCUUGCUUUUCUUGAAUUGAGGGGAAGGGGUAAUAACCGGGGAUCACCCCCCGGGAGUGGGGCCAACAGUGGAAACCCCGCUUUACCCCCAAUAACCCCCGGCCCGCAUCGGGCCCGGAAAAGGAUUUUUCUCUUCAGGAGGGCCUCGGUCCAAUUAGCUUGGUGUGUGAGUACCGGCCCCACAAGGCGACGAUUUGUACCCGGACUGAGAGGUUGAACGGCCACAUUGGGAUUGAACACGGCCCAGACUUCUACGGGAGGCAGCAGUGGGGGAUAUUGCACAAUGGGGGAAACCCUGAUGCAGCGACGCCGCGUGGAGGAAGAAGGUUUUCGGAUUGUAAACUCCUGUCGUUAGGGACGAUAAUGACGGUACCUAACAAGAAAGCACCGGCUAACUACGUGCCAGCAGCCGCGGUAAAACGUAGGGUGCAAGCGUUGUCCGGAAUUACUGGGUGUAAAGGGAGCGCAGGCGGACCGGCAAGUUGGAAGUGAAAACUAUGGGCUCAACCCAUAAAUUGCUUUCAAAACUGCUGGCCUUGAGUAGUGCAGAGGUAGGUGGAAUUCCCGGUGUAGCGGUGGAAUGCGUAGAUAUCGGGAGGAACACCAGUGGCGAAGGCGACCUACUGGGCACCAACUGACGCUGAGGCUCGAAAGCAUGGGUAGCAAACAGGAUUAGAUACCCUGGUAGUCCAUGCCGUAAACGAUGAUUACUAGGUGUUGGAGGAUUGACCCCUUCAGUGCCGCAGUUAACACAAUAAGUAAUCCACCUGGGGAGUACGACCGCAAGGUUGAAACUCAAAGGAAUUGACGGGGGCCCGCACAAGCAGUGGAGUAUGUGGUUUAAUUCGAAGCAACGCGAAGAACCUUACCAGGUCUUGACAUCCGAUGCAUAGUGCAGAGAUGCAUGAAGUCCUUCGGGACAUCGAGACAGGUGGUGCAUGGUUGUCGUCAGCUCGUGUCGUGAGAUGUUGGGUUAAGUCCCGCAACGAGCGCAACCCUUAUUGCCAGUUACUACGAAAGAGGACUCUGGCGAGACUGCCGUUGACAAAACGGAGGAAGGUGGGGAUGACGUCAAAUCAUCAUGCCCUUUAUGACCUGGGCUACACACGUACUACAAUGGCGUUUAACAAAGAGAAGCAAGACCGCGAGGUGGAGCAAAACUCAAAAACAACGUCUCAGUUCAGAUUGCAGGCUGCAACUCGCCUGCAUGAAGUCGGAAUUGCUAGUAAUCGCGGAUCAGCAUGCCGCGGUGAAUACGUUCCCGGGCCUUGUACACACCGCCCGUC